UACGUAGGUCGCAAGCGUUGUCCGGAUUUACUGGGCGUAAAGAGCGCGCAGGCGGCUGGUCAAGUCCGAUGUGAAAUCUCCCGGCUUAACUGGGAAACUGCAUCGGAAACUGAUCGGCUCGAAGGCAGGAGAGGGUAGUGGAAUUCCAGGUGUAGCGGUGAAAUGCGUAGAUAUCUGGAGGAACACCGGUGGCGAAGGCGGCCUGCUGGGCAGUUGCUGACACUGAGGCGCGACAGCGUGGGGAGCAAACAGG
rnacentral:rRNA from 1 species